ensembl:lncRNA
AUCAGACACUCUUUCCAGGUAGAUAGUGUUGGAACUGAAUUGGAGGACACCCAGCUGGUGCCCACUGCUUGGUGUGUAUGUGUGUGGUGGGAGAUCCCCACACAUUUGGUUGCAGAAGUCUUCUGUGUUGAUGAUUGUUGUCCUGGUGUGAGAGCAGAGGAAAAACACGGCUUGAGAGUUUUUCUGAAAUAGGAGGGCCUAAGAACUCUACUGUUCUAUGCCACAGAACUGCCCCCCACCACCUUCCUUGCAAGGCUGGCUAUUCAAUAGUCAGGAGAGGAAGUGAUAGCCUGGACCAGCCUCCCCACUUCCCCACCUCUCACCCCAUUCAGAGCCCAGAUCCAGUAGACAGUGGAGAUGAGGCCUGCUUGGAGUCAGGCAGGCUCUAUCAGACAACUUCAGGCCAAGAAGCUGCCCCUCUUGGGAUGGAGGGCUCAAAAAUCUUGUGGCAUGGGCAGGUGGAAAGCCAGCCUUAUCAGCAAGCUCUCAUUCUGAUCUGCUCUCACGUGAUUCCAGCUCUCCAGGUGCAGCCUCUGUGCAGGAAGGCCUGGCAUGCCCAGUGCUGCCUGUGAUUGGUGAGUCUGUCUUUGUCAUUUGGAAAAGUUAUUACUGGACGUUUAAUGUCACCUUUUCCAGUGUCAGCUUUAUCCCUAAUAAAAGUGACAUUUUGGUCUCCAUCUGACUAGCUCUCAUCCUACCACCUGAUUGGUUUAGAAUUCUGGUGGGGAAAAUAGGAACUGAAUUCUGGGGGUCUCCAUACAACUCCAAAACCACCUUAUUCUUCCCAAAGUCAACCAGCUAUCUUGAAUGUGGCUAGAUUCCUCAUCUGCGCUUCCUCAUCCCUCAUUCCUUCCUCAAGUCACAGCCAUGUAGCUUCUCCUCCCACUAAACAUUGAACCCAUCUUGCAAGGUCGCUGAUGACUUAUUUCAAAAUACAAUGAAACUUUUCAGUCUAAAGGUCAAUUUUACUUGCAGUCUCUGCAACUUUCAAAGCUCUUCAUCAUUUCCUCCUCCUUGGCAUUCCUUCCUCUCCGAAAUUCCAUGACAUUACUUUCUCUUGCUUUUCCUCGUGCUUCUCUGACUCUUCCUUCUCAGCCUCCCUGAACUGUUCUUCAACCUCUAUGCUCCUCAGUUGCUAGUGUUCUCCAGGGUUUUGCCUUACAUCCUCACUCUGUGGUCUCUUCCUUGGUGAUUUUAUCCACUGCCGAGGCUUCUAAUUACCACAUAUACCCCAACCCUGCCUGCUGCCCAGGGCUCUCUUUAAAAUUCUAGACUCAAAGGGCCAAGUACCAGUGGUGUGACUCCAUGUGUGAUGGAAGAAGGUACCAUGUCAUUUUAUUUUUUAUUGCUUUAUUAAUGACAGCAAGAUUUUUUUCAUAUUUUACUGAUAAGUUGUGCAUGUUUGUAGGUGCAUGUGUAUACAUCUUUCCCUCACUUGACAUUUCUUAUGCUCCUUCCCUCCUCUUUUUUUCUGUCCUGCACCUUAGUUUGGGUCACAACACACUUCAGUGAUGUUGCUGUGCCACUUCUCCAAGUGCAGCUUCUGCUCCCAGUCUGCUAGUUUGUGAUCUCAGACUCGAUUCUUCAGUGCUUGUGAUAUGUGCAAACACAGGGACUGUGUAUAUCACACAGACCACGACCCCACCCCUGCCUACUCUCUCUCUCUCUGCCCUAUUUCUCACCAUUCCACCCUUGUGCCUUAUGUUCCUUCUACCAGCUUCCAGGAAGUACCUGCUCCCUCCCUGCUCCUUGCCUCUUCUCCCCUUCUCUGACUGACUGACUUUAUUCUUUAAAACACACUUCUGGUGUCCCUUCUGGGAAGGCCUCCAGCCCCACCUCCCAGGGAGGGCUAGCUGCCCUGACUCUGCGUUCCCACUGUAAUUGUAUUUACCCAUUCUGGUGUAUAUGUGGUCAUUUCGCAAUGGCCUGUCACUCUCUGUCUUGCUGCCAGGCUGUGCACUCCUUGGGGAUACACCUUGCUCAUCUAAUACUUCCAGAACUUCAUGCACUCCUGGCAUGUGGUAGAUGUUCAAUACAUUUUUGAAUGACUGAAUAUGUGACAGAAGGCAGUGCCCUUACAAUUUAUUCCUGAGAUCUCCCUUCCCGACCACUGGAUUCACUCACUGAAGGGAAGUGAUCAGUUUCCUACCAGCAGCACCCUCUGCCCACUGAGAGAUGGUGCUCCACGGGGAAACUCUUCAUCCCUGGUGGUAUUUGAAGGGAGUUCUCCAUACAUGUUAACCUUGUAAAAUUUCCCUCCAUCAUUGGCCCUGGCCUUGCUGACUUUCCCAUUAUAUUUCUUUGCGGG